rnacentral:lncRNA from 1 species
UUUUAACUUCCGCAUAUUUAUGGAAAGACAUUUUUAUUUAUUUAAGCUUAAUCAUUCAGUUAAUGUGCUACUAUGACAAGCUUUUUAAAGCAGUGUUUUAUUAUGUUUAAAUGUAUCCUUGUUUUCCUAGGUGUGUAGAAGGUACAGGCAUGUGUAGCACACUGUGUUGAAAGCCGCUUCUAUACUCACACAGCUUGAAACCACUGUUUGCUAUUCUGUCCUAAGUUGCUUCCUUCCUUUCCUUGGCCACAGGAGGACAAAAGUUCUUGUGAGCUUCUUAGUUGUCUGCAUUUAGAAGCAUAAUUUAACAAUUGUGAAGUGCAGCAAAAUUCAGAAGCACUGAUGACACGCUCCUUGUUCACAGGCUAGAAAUUGACUGGUCCUGAGCUGACAUCUGUCGCCAAUCUUUCUCUUUUUGCUUGUGGAAGAUUAUCACUGAGCUAACAUCUGUAGCAGCGUUCCUUUAUUUUGUAUGUGGGACAGUGUCACCGCAUGGCUUGAUGAGUGGUGCAUAGGUCUGCGCCUGGGACCUGAACCCGUGCACCCCCGGCUGCCAAAGUGGAGAGUGUGAACUUAACGGCUGUGCAAUUGGGCAAGCCUGUUUUACUUUGUAAAUGGUUAAUUAAUUGUUUUCUCUUCUACACAUCACUUUAAUAUCACUAUUUAUUUGAACUUCUGUAUUUUAAAUUUCAGAAACACAGUUUUACUCAAAAUGGUGGUAUAUGCUUCCUAAGUCACUCCCUUCAAUGUAUUACUUUAAAAUGUAGUCCAUUCCUUGUAUUGAUAAUCUUCAAUCUAGUGUUGAACAUAUAUAAUGAAUUUGGAAUGUUCAGUCAACAAACGAUUUUGAGCAUUUAAUAGGUGUGGGGCAUCGUAUUAAGCACUGUGCGAAAUCAAUCACACAUGGAGGCUUCCUUUAUACAUUGAGGUUUAGAGGAAAAAAGAAGAAAUGAUACAUUUUCCCAAGUGGUCAAGAAGGAGCAGAAAAAUGACUAUAGUAAGAGUAAUGAAUUGGUAAGAUUAUAGGAAAUUGUCACAGGAAUUGUUACAGGGAGAAAAUGCUUCCACACGGAGGCUUCAGUGAACAGGGGACUCAGG